rnacentral:rRNA from 1 species
GACGAACGCUGGCGGCGCGCUUAACACAUGCAAGUCGAACGGAAAGGCCUGCUUUCCCUUGUGGAUUGCGGGUACUCGAGUGGCGAACGGGUGAGUAACACGUGAGUGAUCUGCCCCCAACUUGGGUAUAAGCCUGGGAAACUGGGUCUAAUUCCCGAUAGGACUGCAGGGUGGUGCCUGUGGUGGAAAACGAUUUUCUAGUGGUUGGGGAUGAGCUCGCGGCCUAUCAGCUUGUUGGUGGGGUAAUGGCCUACCAAGGCGGCGACGGGUAGUGGCCUGAGAGGGUGGACGGCCACAUUGGGACUGAGAUACGGCCCAGACUCCUACGGGAGGCAGCAGUGGGGAAUAUUGCACAAUGGGCGGAAGCCUGAUGCAGCGACGCCGCGUGGGGGAUGACGGCCUUCGGGUUGUAAACUCCUUUCGACCGCGAGGAAGCCACCUGGUUGGAAGGGUGGUGACGGUAGUGGUAGAAGAAGCACCGGCUAACUACGUG